AUGUCACUUUUUUAUAUCAAUAGCAAAACUAAGUCAUUCCACACAAACCAUCACACACAAAAUAGAGCCUUUUUUUUUCUUUUCAAAGUAUCAUCAUCUUCAUUGUAUUUUAAACAAAAUCAACAUAUAAAAUUCAUAACAUGUAUAUUAACAAUUUAUUUUUUGGGAAAAUCACAACAACACUAA